GGGCAAGCGUUUCAUUUUGUUUUCGUUUGGGGGUGCACCUGAUACCCGAAGACCUCUCUCCUCUCUCCUCUCUCCCUUGGUGGGCUUCGUCUGCCUCCUACCUGGGAUCGGCGAGCUCUCGGUAAAUCAGCGACGGUGACGUGCAAGGUGCGCCGAGCUAUCCUGCUGGAUGGCCGAUCUCUCCAUGAGCUCAGGGUGUUUGCUGCCGCCUGCUGGUUCUACUCCUAGGAUAGCUGAAGGAUCCGGCGGUCUCGAGCCCAUCAGCGGCCUAGUUCCGGCAGAUCGCAGCAUGUGCGGUGGUCCGGGCCGCUUGAAGUCCUCAGCUUCGUCUUCGUUGUCGCCGUCUCCAACCUCACAGGAAGAACAUCAGCAACGCUCUCUCGCCGCAGGAAUGAGUCGACUGACCGUAGAGAUCGACUCUUUCUCCUUGAGCCUUCUGGAGCUCGCCGCUAACAACGAUGUGGACGCCUUUCGGCUGUUUCUGGACCGCGACCCGUCGGCCGUGGACGAGGUUGGUCUCUGGUACGGCCGAAGGAAGGGCUCCAACCGCAUGGUCCUGGAGCAGCGGACUCCCUUGAUGGUGGCCGCCACGUACGGCAGCCUCGACGUCCUCAAGCUCAUCGUGUCCCUGCCCUCUGUGGAUGUCAACCGUGUCGCCGGACUCGAUGGCACCACCGCUCUCCACUGCGCUGCUUCCGGUGGAUCUUUGGAAGCUGUUGAUGCUGUGAAGAUGCUCCUUGCGGCCGGUGCCGAUCCCGCUUUGGUGGAUGCAAACGGAAACCGCCCUGCCGAUGCUAUCGUGGUGCCUCCCAAGUUGCCUGAUUUGAAGACUGGCCUUGAACAACUUCUUGGAAGGAGCACAAAUGCGUCGGGUGGCUCAGAUAACCACCACCACCCUCUUCGCGUGAUGACGAGUUCGCCGAACUCCAUUUCGCCGCCGCUUUCUUUGUCCCCUGAUGAGGAAGGGUCGCCGUUGUCCAACUCGACUUCCUCCCCUCCGAUGGCGAAGUUCCCUGACCUUCCUCCGGUGGUCGUGUCCGAGAAGAAGGAAUAUCCAGUGGACCCAUCUCUCCCGGACAUCAAGAACAGCAUCUACUCCACAGAUGAGUUCCGCAUGUUCUCGUUUAAGAUCCGCCCGUGUUCUCGGGCAUACUCCCAUGACUGGACCGAGUGCCCCUUCGUCCAUCCUGGUGAGAAUGCCCGCCGGCGUGACCCCAGGAAAUACCACUACAGCUGCGUUCCGUGCCCUGACUUCCGGAAGGGGGCCUGUCGGAGGGGAGACAUGUGCGAGUAUGCACAUGGGGUGUUCGAGUGUUGGCUUCACCCGGCACAAUAUCGCACGAGGCUCUGCAAGGACGGGACGGGCUGCUCUCGCAGGGUCUGUUUCUUUGCGCACACGAACGAGGAGCUUCGUCCGCUUUAUGUGUCUACUGGCUCGGCUGUGCCCUCUCCCCGGUCAUCCUCUGCUGCAAUGGAGAUGGCUGCAGCGAUGGGGCUCAUGCCUGGGUCACCAUCCUCGGUCUCUGCUGUUAUGUCACCUUUUACACCGCCCAUGUCACCAUCAGCUAAUGGCAUUGGUCACUCUUCAGCGUCUUGGCCGCAGCCAAAUGUGCCUACGUUGACUCUACCUGCAAGCAAUCUUCAGUCAAGCAGGCUGCGCUCGUCUCUCAGUGCAAGGGACAUGCCGGUGGAUGACCUCUCAGUAAUCUCUGAGUUUGAUACCCAACAGCUACUUAGUGACCUGUGCUACUCCCGUCCAAGUUCAUCUGCUGGGAAUCGGUCCAUCAGAACCAAAACCUUGACUCCUUCAAACCUUGAUGACCUUUUUUCAUCUGAGAUAGCCUCGUCACCAAGGUAUAAUUCUGACCAGGGUAGUAUUUUUUCUCCAUCUCACAGGACCGCUGUAUUCAAUCAGUUCCAGCAGCAGCAGAGCCUCCUCUCUCCAAUCAACACAAAUGUGUUCCCCCCGAAGGCUGUCGAUGCUCAACAUCUGCCUGCCCAUUCACCUCUCUUACAGGCCUCGCUCAAUGUCUCUUCUCCUGGACUCAUGUCUCCACGAAGUGUUGAACCUGUUUCUCCAAUGAGUUCGCGCCUGGCGAUGUUAACCCAAAGGGAGAGGCAGCAGCAGUCACUCCGAAGCCUGAGCUCUCGUGAUCUUGGUCCCAUUUCAUCUCCGAUCGUGGGUUCUCCUGUUAACUCAUCGUGGUCGAAGUGGGCUUCUCCUUCUGGUGUUCCUGAUUGGGGAGUUAACAGUGAAGAACUGGGACGUCUUAGGCGAUCGUCUUCCUUUGAGUUGCGAGGAAAUGGGGAGGAACCUGAUCUGUCAUGGGUACACUCACUGGUGAGGGAAUCGCCAACUGAGAAAGUGGCAUCUGUUGCCACGGCUCCUACAGGUCCUACUGGUGGUGCUGAGUGUUUGAAUUCAAACGUUGAGAUGGAUGGGCAUGAUCAAGCUGCGGUACUUGGUGCAUGGCUUGAACAGAUGCAGCUCGAUCAGAUAGUAACCUAGGGGAAACCCGAAUUGUCACUAUGAUGUUAGAUGGGAGGUAUUUGGUAGUAGAUCAGUAGCUAACUAAAUUCAGUAAACAAUAUUUUUUGGUUAGUUGGGUGGUAAAGAAGGGAAAGAAGCAGGAAGGAGUAAUUUCAGAGAUUCAUUUCUUCAAAAACAGAUUUAUUGUUACUUCAAAGAGUUCCCUCAGUUCAAAAUUGGAUGGGGUUUAUUGCUGGGGUUUAUGAAGGCCUAACCCAGAUCGACAGGGAGGGGGUUGGAGUGCAUGGUUUUUGGGAGUUGACCAGUUUCACUUUGCUAGGAUAAAGAUCUAGAAGUUUGCUCAAAGGCUUUUGUUUGGGACUUUAACAAUUGCAGCUGUGGUGAAUCAAUGGGUGCUAAAGUUCUCUGCAGAACAAUCGCAAUUGAUCAAAGGUGCCUGUUGCGGAAGUUCUCUGCUUGUUGUAUUAUUUGAUCAAACAUUACCAAUAUUUCUGUUCCAUAGUUUUUUGGUAUCCAUACUAAUUUGAACCGUAGUUAUCUUCAUCAUAUCCUUUUAUGUUUGUUUACCUGUGGGGUGAUAAUAUUCUCACUGAUCCACAUGUGCAAAGGGAUGAUAUCUGUUUCUUUUAAAGACACAUUGGAAUCAGUGGUGGUGGGGCAAUCUAUUGGAAAUUCUGGAACAGCUGGGUUAUCUAUGCAAGGUGUGCCAUCUCAUCUUUAUUCCUUAUUUAGUGGGCAUCUCUUGUGUUGGUGAAUGUGGAUGGAUUAUGACACACCUAUCCAUGCUACCCUGAUGUGGAUUCAGAACUUACAUAUUUGUUGUAUGUUCCAUUAAAAGCAUUGGUGAAGUUGGUUUUGAUCUUGUUUUGUUUUCUGCUGGAGUGGGUGGAUGCUCAAGCAAGUAGUUUUUGUGAUUGGAAGUACUUUUGUUGGACACCAUGAUUGGGGUGCAAUUUGGAGUUGUGUUCACCAAGCUCUCUAAAGAUCUCAUCCACAAUGUUGUUAAAGCUUAUGCUUUAUCCUGACCUUGUGAAUAUGAUAAUGCUUUGGAUGCCUGACUUUUUAGAUUUGGAUUGUGAUCAUGGAAUAUCAUGAGUGGUGUUCUUGAUCAUUUUGUAAAAUUCCCACUCUAAAUCUUGAUCUGCAUCUUGGUGAAAUAUAUGCAUUUUAUCUUCA